GAUGAACGCUGGCGGCGUGCCUAAUACAUGCCAGUCGAGCGAACGGACGAGAAGCUUGCUUCUCUGAUGUUAGCGGCGGGCGGGUGAGUAACACGUGGAUAACCUACCUAUAAGACUGGGAUAACUUCGGGAAACCGUAGCUAAUACCGGAUAAUAUUUUGAACCGCAUGGUUCAAAAGUGAAAGACGGUCUUGCUGUCACUUAUAGAUGGAUCCGCGCUGCAUUAGCUAGUUGGUAAGGUAACGGCUUACCAAGGCAACGAUGCAUAGCCGACCUGAGAGGGUGAUCGGCCACACUGGAACUGAGACACGGUCCAGACUCCUACGGGAGGCAGCAGUAGGGAAUCUUCCGCAAUGGGCGAAAGCCUGGCGGAGCAACGCCGCGUGAGUGAUGAAGGUCUUCGGAUCGUAAAACUCUGUUAUUAGGGAAGAACAUAUGUGUAAGUAACUGUGCACAUCUUGACGGUACCUAAUCAGAAAGCCACGGCUAACUACGUG
rnacentral:rRNA from 1 species